CAAUCUUCCUUCAAUGUAAACAGUCAGUUGACAUCCUGCUGCCUGCAAGAUAAGGACUCUCAGCUACUCCUGCAGCACCGUGUCUGCUUGCAGGCUGCCAUGGUGAUGAUGGACUGAACCUCUGAAACUAACGGAACUAAAAGAUUCAGCUCAUCACAGCAAAUACGGAUUCUGCGCCUGCAGUCAAAAUCCACAGUAAUCACACAGGACAGCUGGUGAAGCGCAGGAGCAGCAGAGUUCAUUGUUCAUUCAAAGAAAGCAGAAUGCAUGGAACUGACCUCUGAAGUGCUAGACACUGAGCUCCAAAACCAGCCCCCACACAGUUAUUCAAGAAGCAUGACUUGCUUCCCAUGCUCAGAGACAUGCGCUCAGGCACAGGCAUGGCUUUCAGACGGAGUGGGGCCUCAUGCUGCAUGUCUCUAAUAAAGUACUUCAGAGGCUGAGGCACCACAGUCAUGAAUG